GUAAUUUCAAGAAGUCCUGACUAAAGAAUCACCUAUGUUAAGCUAUUCUCAAGCAGUUGUCCAGGCUCAUAUGCAUUUCUAUACAUGUAAUUUCCUAACCAAUAACCUCGUAGAUUAGUUUGUCCAAGUUACCAUCUUAUUAGAACUUAGAAGGUAAAAGACAAAAUCAAGAAGCACAAGAAAAUAUCAUAAGAAAAUUCGAUCCCAUUCCAUUUAUUUUAAUUAUGUAAACCCACUAACCUGAAC
rnacentral:misc_RNA from 1 species